rnacentral:rRNA from 1 species
UACGUAGGGGGCAAGCGUUGUUCGGAUUUAUUGGGCGUAAAGAGCUCGUAGGCGGUUCGGUAAGUCGGGUGUGAAACCUCCAGGCUCAACCUGGAGACGCCACCCGAUACUGCUGUGACUAGAGUCCGGUAGGGGAGCGUGGAAUUCCUGGUGUAGCGGUGAAAUGCGCAGAUAUCAGGAGGAACACCAGCGGCGAAGGCGGCGCUCUGGGCCGGAACUGACGCUGAGGAGCGAAAGCGUGGGGAGCAAACAGG